rnacentral:lncRNA from 1 species
AAUUUUAUCUAUAUAUCAAACUAAGAGUUAUCAGCAUUAUCUCUUUAAUUUCAUUUUUUUUUUUUUGCUUCUUCCCAAUUUUUCUCUCUUUUCUUCUUAGAUCUACUUUCUUGUGCAAAAGGACCACCGUGACAUUCCUGGUUCCACCGCAAAUCCUUGCACCACCACUGUCCGCACAUCUUUCACCGCCACUGCUGCAACUCCUUCAUGGCCUCUGCCCCAACUCCGGGCACCGCCACUGCCGCAACUCCUUCACCGCUGCUACCGCAACUUCUUCACCGCCACUGCCGCAACUCCUUGCGCCGCCACGCCUCUUUCUUUGCAUCCAGCCACCGUAACUCCUUGCACGACCACCAC